rnacentral:lncRNA from 1 species
GGGGCUGCUAACUUAGACCCAAUUGGGUCUAAGUUAGCAAGGUGCACCUUUUCAGUUGGACAAAAAUACUCAUUCUUUUUAAUUAAUUAACCAAAUUACCAUCAAUGGACGCGGAUCCAGUGUCGCGCGCGUACCGCAGGACCAUGGUUACAAACCGUUGAUUUCCAUCAGACAGCCAAGAUCUGAUCUCAUCAAGACUGUCUGAUCAAUCAGACAGCCCAGAUCAUCCGAAUCCUUCAGAUUCCAGCGCGUGCACCACACUGGAUUACACCCUGGAGAGAGAAUAAUCUACUUUUUAAAAGCAGGACACGUGUCGCUGUCUGAUCGGCUGGGCGAGAUUUUUUUCCAUUUAAUACUUUGAACUCAAUUAUUUCGUUGUAAAUUAAUUUUUUUUUUUUNNN